AUUGAACGCUGGCGGCAUGCCUUACACAUGCAAGUCGAACGGCAGCACGGGAGCAAUCCUGGUGGCGAGUGGCGAACGGGUGAGUAAUAUAUCGGAACGUGCCCUGUAGUGGGGGAUAACUGCUCGAAAGGGCAGCUAAUACCGCAUACGACCUGAGGGGGAAAGGGGGGGAUCGCAAGACCUCUCGCUAUUGGAGCGGCCGAAAUCAGAUUAGCUAGUUGGUGGGGUAAAGGCCUACCAAGGCAACGAUCUGUAGUUGGUCUGAGAGGACGACCAGCCACACUGGGACUGAGACACGGCCCAGACUCCUACGGGAGGCAGCAGUGGGGAAUUUUGGACAAUGGGCGCAAGCCUGAUCCAGCAAUGCCGCGUGCAGGAAGAAGGCCUUCGGGUUGUAAACUGCUUUUGUCAGGGAAGAAAUCCUCUAGGUUAAUACCCUUGGGGGGAUGACGGUACCUGAAGAAUAAGCACCGGCUAACUACGUGCCAGCCGCCGCGGUAAUAC
rnacentral:rRNA from 1 species